rnacentral:rRNA from 1 species
UACGGGGGGGGGCAAGCGUUGUUCGGAAUUACUGGGCGUAAAGGGCUCGUAGGUGGCCAACUAAGUCAGACGUGAAAUCCCUCGGCUUAACCGGGGAACUGCGUCUGAUACUGGAUGGCUUGAGUUUGGGAGAGGGAUGCGGAAUUCCAGGUGUAGCGGUGAAAUGCGUAGAUAUCUGGAGGAACACCGGUGGCGAAGGCGGCAUCCUGGACCAAUACUGACGCUGAGGAGCGAAAGCCAGGGGAGCAAACGGG